GGAGGGGUGCCAGAGAGGCCUAUUGGCCAGGUCUCGAAAACCUUGGUCCCUUUUGGGAACGCGAGUUCGAAUCUCGCCCCCUCCGCCA
rnacentral:tRNA from 1 species